rnacentral:tRNA from 1 species
GCGGGGAUAGCUCAGUUGGGAGAGUGUCAGACUGAAGAUCUGAAGGUAGUGUGUUUGAUCCCCACUCACCGCA